UCCUUAAUCGCCCACUUGAAAAACUUAAUCAAAUUAUCACCCAAAAUAAGAGGAAUUUCGAUCGCUUUCACUACAAACUCCUCGUGUAAAUCCAAGCCCAUACUAUCAAGAGUUGAUUCUAAGGACCCAUCGGCACUACUCUGUAACAAGACAGCACAUUCUCUAACUUCUCCGUGUCCAUCUCAUAAACCCCUCCCUCCUCUUUUCCACCCUCAACUUCCUCAACUAAACCCCUAGAAAACUGAUCUGGCAUGCUAAUGUUAUCACUCUCAGGAGUAAAAUUUUCAAUCCGAUAAUCACCAUUUUCACAUAAAACCUGUGAAAACAGCGCUGGUAUCCCUUCAUAAGCAAAAUUCUGGAAUUGGGUAUCAUUAUUUUCCAUGAAAACUACUGAAGAAUCGUUCGCAGAAGCGAAAUGGUCCACCUGGGUAGCAUCAUCGCCAUUCUUAGCAGAGUCCAGUGACGAGUGCUCGGUUUCAAUUUCACAUGGGUUCACGUACAAGUGUGAGAGAAAUCUAAAGUUUGGACAAGGAAGCAAGAAAACCCGUGUGGAAAAAUGUGAUUGAAUGAGUGCCACGUGUUUGCUUGCAUGUUUCAACUAUCUGGGGGUGUAUUGAUUUCUACAUAUUAAAGGUACUAUUAGUUAGAGUAAGUGAAACAAGUUUGGUGGAUUAGAUUAUGACAUGAAUGUGGACUAACUCAUGUUAUUAAUUUUUCUUCGACAACCUUUCUUUCCCAUCAAAACUAAGAAAUUUCAAGCAUGAAAUAUGGUAACCACCAUGCUAUAAUAGAUUUCCAAGCAUGGAAUUGUUAGGUUCUUGGAACAAGAAUCCAAGAUAUUUUGGCAUUCCAAUCCCCGCUCGCUCAUAACGAACGGAGAUGAAGACGGCAGGCAGGGAAAAUAAAACCAAAUGGCACCUGUGUCCUAAAAUUUACAUGAAAAGCUUUUCAUUUUUCCCAUAUGGUACCAUCUUAAAAUUUAGAUUAUGAGCAGCAUUUCAAUAUUAACUUAUUAACUUAGUCAGUGUUGUGCAUCUCAAACAUACAUUCAGUGUUGUGCAAAUAUUAACUUAGUCAGCUUCGAGUUCGGCUCCAAAUUGCUCCAGUCUAGCAGCAUCAUCCUCAAAAUCUCGGACCAAAGCAUGAUUAAUUGAUCCAUCAUCCUCACUAGCAUGAAUCUGUGACCACUGAACCAUCGACCAUUCAUCAAUUCUAUGCACUUUCGAGCAUCCUUCCUAUCCUUAAAUUUUACCAACACCACACCCUGUGGAUGAUUCUCACAGACCUCAAAAUUCACGCAGUCAGCAUAAUCUGUUUCCGAGAAUAAAGGACUACCAUCUUGACUGAAUCAACUGGACCAAGCUUCACACAUUCCUCUUUAACAUCCAACUCCAGUUCUGAACGUAAAUUCUCAUCAGCCCUCAUUUCAGCAGGAGUAAACAUGUAACGAAGAACAACAGUAGCUGGAAUUGACACCUUUGCAUCAUCAAGGCCACCCCAACCAAGUAUCUUCUCCUCGACCUGUCUUAGCUUCUUUUUCUUCUUGUUAUCUACUUUUUUGGGUAUAAAUCUAUACCCUGCAUUUAGCACAAAUACUGCUCAUUAGCAAAACAAGACAGCCUCUAAUAAAAAUAUAGUGAAAUUGCAUAACCAAUAUGAUAUAGAGACAUGUUCAUAUCCCAAUUCCCAAACAAUAACAAUAAUCAUUUAUAAAAAUCGUCGUAGGGUAACCAACAAAGAUGGAAAUAUUACAUAUUAUUAUAUUUACCCUUCUGUUCAAACUUGGCUCUGCUGACAGUCAUAGGGAUUGUAUCACCAGGACGUAAAGGUGCCCCAUCCAAAAUUUGCAAAGCCAAAUCAACUGAUGGUUCCUAGUGUACAAUCAUAAAUAAAAUAGAUGCAGGCAUAAAAAGUGUUGACUGUCACAACCCACAUCACAGGGUCAAGAACACAAAGCAAUUACCUUCAAAUAUGUAACUAAUGUAUCUCCCUUUACUCUUCCCGUCUCUUUGUCAACAUAGAUCUUCACGCGAGGCUUUUUCGUUUCAGUAUCCUCUCUGAUUAUCCCACACUUGGAAAAUACCUCCGCAACUUCUUCAGCCAUGACAUCAUCAGGCAACCCAGUUACAUAAACAUGUGCAUUGACUUUCAAUUCAAACCAACCAACAGGGGCUUUAUUGGCUGCCUUCUUAUCAGCUUGAUUGUCUUGUUUAUCUGCUUGCUUGUUCUUCUUAUCAGCUUCCAUGUCCUCUAGUUUCCUCUUCCCAUUAUGUUUUGAUUCCAGAGUUUCACCAGUACCAUUAUCCUCUUCCUUUGUAGCCACAUCAAGAAUAUUCACAGUUGGAAAAACUUCCUCUUCUUUCAAGAAGGUCAUUUCUUCUACCUCAUAUUGCCCAGUCAUGCUUGUUGUAUUAUCCUGAGGCACCCAGGCUCUAAGACCUCUAUCCCACUUGUAUGUAGUCCCAUCAUCAUCUGUAAAUUCCUCCUCUCCAUCUGGUGGCAAUGGAACUCUAUUGCGAUCAUCUAAAUCAAUGUCACCACCAACAGUGCUAGAAAGAGACCCGUUUUUCAACCGUUCAGCCUCAAUCUCUGCCUCUAUGAUCUCCUUCUGCCAUUUCUCAAACGCAGCCUCAUCACCAUUGGAGGGCACUGCAGAUGAACAAUUAGCUUGCUCUUUAUUGCCAGAAGGAGAUCCUUUUUUCAAACCAAUAGUGCUUCCUUUUGCCUCCUUUCUUACUUCAUGCCAGUUCUCCAACUCAUUAUCAUUUUUGGCAGGUACUGGAGCUGCUGUGGUAGAAUCAGCUCCCUGUUGAGAAACUCUUGAUAUCAAUUCAGGAAUUGACGACAAUGGUUGCCAUACUGUUCUUCCUUCAGACCAUACAAGUGUGCUUUCUGAGAUGUAUCCAUUUAAGAAAUGAUCAUGCAGCUCAGAAGACGCAUAAGGUCCAACAUGUUGUUGAUUUUCACCAAGAAUAUACCAUCCUACUUCCACAACCUGGCCAUAACUCCCCUCAAAGCUAUUUCCUGCACCAGAAGUUUGUUGGUAGUAUUGUGGUUGUUGGUAUUGGUGAUCUUGGGAACCAUCUUCACUUGACAUCGUUCUGUAAACAAAAUCCUUUUGUAGAGAUGGGAAAAGACUUAAAUGGAAAAUGAAUAGGAUAUGUCAAAUGAGUCAUUUGAUAGAACUAUGAAGUUGAUCAACCAUUCAGCCACCCACACACAUAUAUACUAGUAUUCUGAAAUUCCAUAAUGCUUUGGUCCUUGGGACAAAAUAUCAAAUGUCUUUUGACAAACUGAAUUCGAAUAGGUAAAAUAGAGAGAGUUGAAGGGGGGAAUCGAAUUAAAACAAAAAUGGCGAAAAGGAGAGCACGAUGAGGUUUUGAAAAGUUUGAGUAGGCUUAAAGAACUGAAAUGGUUAGCAGAGCCUCGGCUGCAAUGAGGGGAGAGGGAGCUUCGCGAAAGUCCGAAAGAAAUGAGAGAGAGAGAGUAAAUAGUUUUGGG
rnacentral:misc_RNA from 1 species